rnacentral:rRNA from 1 species
ACCUACGGGGGGCAGCAGUGGGGGAUAUUGCACAAUGGGGGGAACCCUGAUGCAGCGACGCCGCGUGGGUGAAGAAGCGCCUCGGCGCGUAAAGCCCUGUCAGCAGGGAAGAAAAUGACGGUACCUGAAGAAGAAGCCCCGGCUAACUACGUGCCAGCAGCCGCGGUAAUACGUAGGGGGCAAGCGUUAUCCGGAUUUACUGGGUGUAAAGGGGGCGCAGACGGCGAUGCACGCCAGGAGUGAAAGCCCGGGGCCCAACCCCGGGACUGCUCUUGGAACUGCGUGGCUGGAGUGCAGGAGGGGCG